GCGUCCGGAGGGCUCUGCUUCUAGGUUAGGCUUUCUCGCUUUGCUGCUGCUUCACCUGUCUGUCUCCCCUUCGAUAUGUGUGGCGUCGUGGGCUGCGGUUUGGCACCGGGGAGUGCUCCGCUGCAGAGGUGCUUCGUCUCAGGUGGUCUCUCUGUUUCUCUGGGACUUCGGCGAGGAGGGCGAGCGGGUGGUGUUAGUUGCAGUCGGCUUUUUUGGGUUGUGCUUCGAGAUCGAUUUUCAAAUCUUAGAU
rnacentral:lncRNA from 1 species